rnacentral:rRNA from 1 species
GCCCUUAGAGUUUGAUCAUGGCUCAGGAUGAACGCUAGCGGCAGGCUUAAUACAUGCAAGUCGAACGGUAACAGGCCUGGCAACAGGCGCUGACGAGUGGCGCACGGGUGCGUAACACGUAUGCAACCUACCCUUUACUGGGGCAUAACCCUGAGAAAUCGGGGCUAAUACUCCAUGGUAUUAUAAAGAGGCAUCUUUUUAUAAUUAAAGAUUUAUUGGUAAAGGAUGGGCAUGCGUCCCAUUAGUUAGUUGGUAAGGUAACGGCUUACCAAGACUGUGAUGGGUAGGGGUUCUGAGAGGAUUAUCCCCCACACUGGUACUGAGACACGGACCAGACUCCUACGGGAGGCAGCAGUAAGGAAUAUUGGGCAAUGGGCGCGAGCCUGACCCAGCCAUGCCGCGUGCAGGAAGACGGCCUUAUGGGUUGUAAACUGCUUUUAUAUGGGACUAACCGCAUCUACGUGUAGGUGUCUGCAUGUACCAUAUGAAUAAGCAUCGGCUAACUCCGUGCCAGCAGCCGCGGUAAUACGGAGGAU